rnacentral:rRNA from 1 species
AAAUUGAAGAGUUUGAUCAUGGCUCAGAUUGAACGCUGGCGGCAGGCCUAACACAUGCAAGUCGAGCGGUAGCACAGAGAGCUUGCUCUCGGGUGACGAGCGGCGGACGGGUGAGUAAUGUCUGGGAAACUGCCUGAUGGAGGGGGAUAACUACUGGAAACGGUAGCUAAUACCGCAUAACGUCGCAAGACCAAAGUGGGGGACCUUCGGGCCUCAUGCCAUCAGAUGUGCCCAGAUGGGAUUAGCUAGUAGGUGGGGUAACGGCUCACCUAGGCGACGAUCCCUAGCUGGUCUGAGAGGAUGACCAGCCACACUGGAACUGAGACACGGUCCAGACUCCUACGGGAGGCAGCAGUGGGGAAUAUUGCACAAUGGGCGCAAGCCUGAUGCAGCCAUGCCGCGUGUGUGAAGAAGGCCUUCGGGUUGUAAAGCACUUUCAGCGGGGAGGAAGGCGUUAAGGUUAAUAACCUUGGCGAUUGACGUUACCCGCAGAAGAAGCACCGGCUAACUCCGUGCCAGCAGCCGCGGUAAUACGGAGGGUGCAAGCGUUAAUCGGAAUUACUGGGCGUAAAGCGCACGCAGGCGGUCUGUCAAGUCGGAUGUGAAAUCCCCGGGCUCAACCUGGGAACUGCAUUCGAAACUGGCAGGCUAGAGUCUUGUAGAGGGGGGUAGAAUUCCAGGUGUAGCGGUGAAAUGCGUAGAGAUCUGGAGGAAUACCGGUGGCGAAGGCGGCCCCCUGGACAAAGACUGACGCUCAGGUGCGAAAGCGUGGGGAGCAAACAGGAUUAGAUACCCUGGUAGUCCACGCCGUAAACGAUGUCGAUUUGGAGGUUGUGCCCUUGAGGUGUGGCUUCCGGAGCUAACGCGUUAAAUCGACCGCCUGGGGAGUACGGCCGCAAGGUUAAAACUCAAAUGAAUUGACGGGGGCCCGCACAAGCGGUGGAGCAUGUGGUUUAAUUCGAUGCAACGCGAAGAACCUUACCUGGUCUUGACAUCCACAGAACUUUCCAGAGAUGGAUUGGUGCCUUCGGGAACUGUGAGACAGGUGCUGCAUGGCUGUCGUCAGCUCGUGUUGUGAAAUGUUGGGUUAAGUCCCGCAACGAGCGCAACCCUUAUCCUUUGUUGCCAGCGGUCCGGCCGGGAACUCAAAGGAGACUGCCAGUGAUAAACUGGAGGAAGGUGGGGAUGACGUCAAGUCAUCAUGGCCCUUACGACCAGGGCUACACACGUGCUACAAUGGCAUAUACAAAGAGAAGCGACCUCGCGAGAGCAAGCGGACCUCAUAAAGUAUGUCGUAGUCCGGAUUGGAGUCUGCAACUCGACUCCAUGAAGUCGGAAUCGCUAGUAAUCGUAGAUCAGAAUGCUACGGUGAAUACGUUCCCGGGCCUUGUACACACCGCCCGUCACACCAUGGGAGUGGGUUGCAAAAGAAGUAGGUAGCUUAACCUUCGGGAGGGCGCUUACCACUUUGUGAUUCAUGACUGGGGUGAAGUCGUAACAAGGUAACCGUAGGGGAACCUGCGGUUGGAUCACCUCCUUA